AACGAACGCUGGCGGCGUGCCUAACACAUGCAAGUCGAGCGGGAAAGUUCCCUUCGGGGAGCAAGUACAGCGGCGAACGGGUGAGUAACACGUAGGUAACCUACCCUGGAGAUCGGGAUAACCUGCCGAAAGGCGGGCUAAUACCGGAUAAGACCACGAGGGCUGCGGCCCUUGAGGAAAAAGAUGGCCUCUGCUUGCAAGCUAUCACUCUGGGAUGGGGCCUGCGCGCCAUUAGCAGUUGGUGAGGUAACGGCUCACCAAGGCUGAGAUGGCUAGCUGGUCUGAGAGGAUGGCCAGCCACACUGGGACUGAGACACGGCCCAGACUCCUACGGGAGGCAGCAGUGGGAAUAUUGCGCAAUGGGCGAAAGCCUGACGCAGCGACG
rnacentral:rRNA from 1 species